rnacentral:misc_RNA from 1 species
ACCGGCUCUAAACUCCACCAGACCAUACUUCGAAAAGAAAAAAGCAGAACAAAUCUCAAUCAAAUCAAACUGAAAUAUGUUCAGGAUCUCAUCAAUCUCCCGGCGAGUUAGAUUGUGAAAACUCUGGAAGUUGUAGCCAGCGUUCACAAGAGCAUACACAGAGAGAAAAAAAAGAGAGAGAGAAAGGGAGAGUUAUUACAGCAACAACAAG